rnacentral:lncRNA from 1 species
AUGAGACAAAGUCACAUAGCACCUGGGUGGAUGAACCUAGGCCACACACCAGACAUCCCUGCUUGUUCAGAAGGAUCAAAGGAAGUCAGCGCAGGCACGCUAGAUAUUCAAGUGCCUUCACAGAUGGUGAUGUUGACUCUGGAAACCUGUGCACAGACCUGGCUUUGCUGUAGUUUAGGAAAUAGCUCUAGCACUAGGGCCAUGUGGGAUCUCAAAAAAGAGCAUGUUAGAUUGAGUGAGAAAGGGAGAGGGAACGAAAGGGAGGGGGAGAUGAGAACAUUUUUUCUUUUUUUCACCACAGACCAUUGUAAGCAGUCCGAGAGGCAAAUAGUGAAGUGCAGAGGAGAGCAACAGGCAGUCGUCUCCAGAGAGAGCCUGAGAGCAAUGCUCAGUCCACUGACAACAACUCAACAUCCGGACAGUAAGGAAGAGGGAGGUUUUUUAUACUGCAGCCUGCCCUGGGGCCUCAGAAAUCAUCUUCCUUCCUCACAGCUAUGCCUGCACCACAUACUGAACCAAGGACAAAGUUUCAUCACUGCAUGUAGUUUGAUUUGCACAUGGACACUUUGUUAAGAAGUUCCAUGCAAGUCUUGUCAAGAUGCUGCCUGUGGUGUUUGUGAUAUGGUGGGUCUGGGUGUUGCUUGGAAGCGUAGGGGGACAGUCCCAAUCUCAGCAUCAGUCUCAGACUGAUGACUCAAACCCAUGGAGACAGAGGAUUCAAUGGGAGAACAAUGGACGUGUGUUUGUGAGACACAGUAAAGAAUCUCAUUGUGUAUCCCACACUAAUGUUAUACUCAAUAGUCUGCUUAAUGGGUCAUAGACCAGCAGUCCAGAAAGUGUGCUUUGCAUAUUGUCUCUUUUGAUAUUGCAGUGAAUGCUACAUGUGUCGAGUAAGGCUGAAGCUCAUUUACUAGGUUGCUAUGCUAAGUAAAGUUAAUCACAGAGGAACUACGGUAGGUACUUAAGCUCUUGCACGGCUAGAGAUUUGGGGGAAAUGGAUGCACGUGUGGAGCUCCUUUCAGAUUCUCUCUCUCUCUCAAGAAAAGGAAGUGAGAAAAAUAGAGAGACAUCCAAAAAAUGUAGCUCUUCUGCCAUCUCUUUGUGUUUCCUGGCAGCCGCGAGCCCUUUGGAUCUGAAAAACACAUAACCCGAGGGACUCAAACUGCACAAAAUUGAUUGUAAAGCUGUUUGCUUACGCAGCUGGUAAUGGACAUUACUUUUGGGUAAAUGUUUCUGUUUGUUUCCAGUCAGUGAAAAUUACUCUUUCCUAACGUCUGAUUUCACCCUGAGCAUCUUUCAUUCCCAUCCCCCAAUGCCAUUGUGUUUCAAUUUACAAUCAAAGAAGUUCCAAGAUCAUAUUCAUCUCAGAGCCUGGGUUAUUGGAACCAGGUGUUGUGGGAUGUGCGCGUGGGUGUAAGAGUUUGUGGUAGUUGGUGUGUGUGCGUAGUGUCUAUGGAGACUCACUCCGCACAAAGAGUGCUCAUUGUUUGAAGAUUUGGUUUUGGUUUUGGUGAUGACUGCACCACGAAGGCUAAGGGGGAAUGAUCCCAGUAUUUGCUUUAGAGGGUGGGGUAAGGGGCUUAAAGGUACACUCCACUAUUUUUGAAAAUAGGCACAUUUUCCAACUCCCCUAGAGUUAAACAAUUGAGUUUUACCAUUUUCGAAUCCAUUCAGCCGAUCUCUGGGUCCGGCGGUAGCACUUUUAGCUUAGCUUAGCAUAGAUCAUUGAAUCUGAUUAGGCCACAUCUCACUCAAAAAUGAUCAAAGAGUUUCGAUAUUUUCCUCUUUAAAACUUGACUCUUCUGUAGUUACAUCAUGUCCUAAGACCGACGGAAAAUUAAAAGUCGCAAUUUUCUAGGCCGAUAUGGUUAGGUACUAUGCUCUCAUUCUAGCGUAAUAAUCAAGAAACUUUGCUGACGUACCAUGGGCGCAGCAGGCGCAAUGAUAUUAGUCCUGAUAAUAGUCCCCAGCUAGUUUGUGUAGUUGCAGAGUUGCAGCCGGCAAAUUUCAGGCGCUGCGUAAUAUCAUUGCUCCUGCUGCACCUAUGUACGGCAGCAAAAUUCCUUGAUUAUUACACCGGAUUGAGAAUAUAGUUUCUAGCCAUAUGGGCCUAGAAAAUCGCAACUUUUCAUUUUCCGUCAGUUUUAGUACAUGAUGUAACUAAAGAAGAGUCAAGUUUUAAAUAGGAAA